rnacentral:rRNA from 1 species
ACGGGUGAGUAACGCGUGGGUAACCUGCCUCACACUGGGGGAUGACAGUUAGAAAUAGCUGCUAAUACCGCAUAAGCGCACAGCUUCGCAUGAAGCAGUGUGAAAAACUCCGGUGGUACAAGAUGGACCCGCGUCUGAUUAGCUGGUUGGUGAGGUAACGGCCCACCAAGGCAACGAUCAGUAGCCGGCCUGAGAGGGUGAACGGCCACAUUGGGACUGAGACACGGCCCAAACUCCUACGGGAGGCAGCAUG